GUGCCCUCCACCAGCACUCUGGGAAGAUCUUUCAUGGGGGAAGAAAGCACUGUUACACACUUGGGGUGGCUGUGGCUUCUUCACUGUUAGACCUGGUGGCACUGCAGCAUCUUCAGUCAUCAUCAUGUGACUCUCCUAUGCACCUGAGGCCUUCUGAUGUCAACUGCCCAUCUGUCUAUUCAAGUCCGGCUGGACCCCACUCUGGAUAGGCCUCGUUACUCGCCCGGGAUAACCACACUACUGUUGUCUUCACUUUUUAAAAUGCUAGACUUUGGAUGGCUGGGAAGAUGGCUCAGUAGGUAAAGGUGCUUGCAGACAAGGAUGAUGAAUUAGAUCCCCGGGACCCAUAUGAUGAAAGAAGAGAAAUCGAAUCCCACAACCUGUCCUCUGGCCUCAGUGUUUGCAUCAUGGCAGGUGCACCCAGAAAAAUAAACAAACAAACAAAUAAUAAAUAAAUGUAAUAAAGAUGUGAGACUUUGA